rnacentral:tRNA from 1 species
AAGAGAGGCCGGAAGCACUAAGGACUGCUAAUCCUUAAGUCCCAUGGUUCAAGUCCAUGGCUCACUUA